rnacentral:rRNA from 1 species
CGUGUAGGUGGUCGGGUAAGUCAGAUGUGAAAGCCUUCUGCUUAACAGAAGAAGUGCAUUUGAAACUACUCGGCUGGAGUACGGGAGAGGAGAGUGGAAUUCCCGGUGUAGAGGUGAAAUUCGUAGAUAUCGGGAGGAACACCAGUGGCGAAGGCGGCUCUCUGGUCCGAUACUGACACUGAGACGCGAAAGCGUGGGGAGCAAACAGGAUUAGAUACCCUGGUAGUCCACGCCGUAAACGAUGGGCACUAGGUGUAGGAGGUAUUGACCCCUUCUGUGCCGAAGCUAACGCAUUAAGUGCCCCGCCUGGGGAGUACGGCCGCAAGGCUAAA